rnacentral:snRNA from 1 species
CUCUCAACUUCUACAACACAUAUACUAAAAUUGGAACCUUAUAGAGAAGAUUAGCAUGAGCUUUGCACAAAGGUACCAUUCAUAUUCAUGAAGUGUUCCAUAUUUUU